UACGUAGGGUGCAAGCGUUGUCCGGAAUUAUUGGGCGUAAAGAGCUCGUAGGCGGUCUGUCGCGUCGGCUGUGAAAUCCCGAGGCUCAACCUCGGGUCUGCAGUCGAUACGGGCAAACUAGAGUAUUGCAGGGGAGACUGGAAUUCCUGGUGUAGCGGUGAAAUGCGCAGAUAUCAGGAGGAACACCGAUGGCGAAGGCAGGUCACUGGGCCACUACUGACGCUGAGGAGCGAAAGCAUGGGGAGCGAACAGG
rnacentral:rRNA from 1 species